GACGAACGCUGGCGGCGUGCUUAACACAUGCAAGUCGAACGGAAAGGCCCUGCUUUUGUGGGGUGCUCGAGUGGCGAACGGGUGAGUAACACGUGAGUAACCUGCCCUUGACUUUGGGAUAACUUCAGGAAACUGGGGCUAAUACCGGAUAGGAGCUCCUGCUGCAUGGUGGGGGUUGGAAAGUUUCGGCAGUUGGGGAUGGACUCGCGGCUUAUCAGCUUGUUGGUGGGGUAGUGGCUUACCAAGGCUUUGACGGGUAGCCGGCCUGAGAGGGUGACCGGCCACAUUGGGACUGAGAUACGGCCCAGACUCCUACGGGAGGCAGCAGUGGGGAAUAUUGCACAAUGGGCGGAAGCCUGAUGCGGCAACGCCGCGUGCGGGAUGACGGCCUUCGGGUUGUAAACCGCUUUCGCCUGUGACGAAGCGUGAGUGACGGUAAUGGGUAAAGAAGCACCGGCUAACUACGUG
rnacentral:rRNA from 1 species